GUCUAUAUGAGAGUUAUAUAAAGUCUGGCCUGCCCAUUGGGAACUAAAAGGCCGCGGUAUUAUGACCGUGCGAAGGUAGCAUAAUCAUUAGUCUUUUAAUUGGAGGCUGGAAUGAAUGGUCGGACGAGAAGUAAGCUGUCUUUAUCCCAUAGAUUGAAUUUAACUUUUAAGUGAAAAGGCUUAAAUGAGUUAGAGGGACGAUAAGACCCUAUAAAGUUUGUACACAGAGUUAAUUAAGAGCGAUUUGGAGUAAUAAAAUUUAUUAUUAGCAAGGUGUUUGGUUGGGGCGACUAGAAUAUAAGUUAUAUAACUGUUUUUUGUUUAAAUCAGAGAUAUCUGUUUAUAUGAUCCCUUUUUAGGAUUAAAGAGUAAAUUACUUUAGGGAUAACAGCGUAAUUUUUUUUGAGAGUUCUUAUCGACAAAAGAGUUUGCGACCUCGAUGUUGAAUUAAAAAUUUCUUUGUGGUGUAGCAGUUACGAGAGAAGGUCUGUUCGACCUUUAAAUUUUUACAUGAUUUGAGUUCAGACCGGCGUGAGCCAG
rnacentral:rRNA from 2 species